rnacentral:rRNA from 1 species
UACAGAGGGUGCAAGCGUUAAUCGGAAUUACUGGGCGUAAAGCGUGCGUAGUCGGUUCUACAAGUCUUCCGUUAAAUCCAACUGCUUAACAGGUGGGCUGCGGAAGAUACUAUAGAGCUAGGAGGCGGGAGAGGCAAGCGGUACUCGAUGGGUAGGGGUAAAAUCCGUUGAUCCAUUGAAGACCACCAGUGGCGAAGGCGGCUUGCCAGAACGCGCUCGACGGUGAGGGAUGAAAGCUGGGGGAGCAAACCGG